UACGUAGGGGGCAAGCGUUGUCCGGAUUUAUUGGGCGUAAAGAGCGUGUAGGCGGCCAGAUAAGGUCCGUUGUGAAAACUCGAGGCUCAACCUCGAGACGCCGAUGGAAACCAUCUGGCUAGAGUCCGGAAGAGGAGAGUGGAAUUCCUGGUGUAGCGGUGAAAUGCGCAGAUAUCAGGAAGAACACCCGUGGCUAAGGCGGCUCUCUAGUACGGUACUGACGCUGAGACGCGAAAAGCGUGGGGAGCGAACAGG
rnacentral:rRNA from 1 species